GCCUGGGUGGCUCAGUCGGUUGGGCAUCUGACUUCGGCUCAGGUCAUGAUCUCACGGUCUGUGAGUUCGAGCCCCCACAUCGGGCU
rnacentral:tRNA from 1 species